UUUUUCCUGCCCGAUUCGCGAAUGAUUUUAAAAUAACCCUACAACUCUUAAAUCGGGAGCUUGGCUCUUUAAGCGGUGUGCAGACCUCCCGUGUUCGGAAGAAGGGAGCCUGAAGCUUAAAGGCGGGCACCCACCUGCUUUUUCGUAGGCAGGUUAUUAUUUAAAUCAUACGGUCGGGCGGGAUUUUU
rnacentral:other from 1 species